GUGGUUGAGGCUCAGUGGUAGAUCGCUUGCUUAGCAUGUAUGAGGCACUGGGUUUGAUCCCUGGCACCACA
rnacentral:tRNA from 1 species